AUCAGUAUAAACAGUUUAACAUGAAGUCACUUCUUUGUUCCGCGCUUCUCUUGGUUUCUCUCUAUUCAGUUCAAGGUCGAAGUUAUGGCUAUCAAAAAAAGACAAAAAGGGCUCACGUGGUGAAAGCAAAGGAUCCCAUUGGAUUCCCGACAGAUCCAGUACUUAUACCUAAAGACCCUGUCGUGUUACCAAGUAACAGACUGCCUGAAUGUAAUGUAGGAUGUACUCUCCAGAUAAUACCACCAGAGUGUGUACAAGAAACAUUUGGAUUUGAACAUGGUGUAAGGUGUAGAGGCUGCGACAUUGACAUUUGCAAUAGAGGCAGGGGAGAUAAUUUAGAUAGAUGGCAGGGCGGCUCCCAGUGGCAAGAUGGACGAAGCAUCCAAAAUAGAAACCGAAGAAUUGGCGGUGGAUUCGUUGAUAGUUUAGGUAGUGAUUUCUUAAACGGAGGACAAAACUCGAAUUUAGGUGGUAGAUUUAGAAACAGGCUGGAUACAAAUUUUGAUAGAAGAAACAGAUUAGACAUAAACUCAAAUGACAGAAGAAACCGGUUUGAAACAAACAGACAAGUUGGAAAUGAGUGGUUAUGAUCACGUGGUUAUGAGUUUAGUAUUUUAUAACAUAAAGCGUGUGAAUUUAGAAAUCCAGAGUAUUUUGUUGUACAAUUUGUAAUAAAAUUACAUAUUUUUAUAUAAUCAAUAAACGAGUAAAGAUCUA